rnacentral:rRNA from 1 species
CAGCUAGUUGGUGGGGUAAUGGCUCACCAAGGCGACGAUCCGUAGCUGGUCUGAGAGGAUGACCAGCCACACUGGGACUGAGACACGGCCCAGACUCCUACGGGAGGCAGCAGUGGGGAAUAUUGGACAAUGGGCGAAAGCCUGAUCCAGCCAUGCCGCGUGGGUGAAGAAGGCCUUAGGGUUGUAAACCCCUUUCAGCGGGGAAGAUAAUGACGGUACCCGCAGAAGAAGUCCCGGCUAACUCCGUGCCAGCAGCCGCGGUAAUACGGAGGGGACUAGCGUUGUUCGGAAUUACUGGGCGUAAAGCGCACGUAGGCGGAUUUGUAAGUCAGGGGUGAAAUCCCGGGGCUCAACCUCGGAACUGCCUUUGAUACUGCAAAUCUCGAGUCCGGAAGAGGUGAGUGGAAUUCCUAGUGUAGAGGUGAAAUUCGUAGAUAUUAGGAAGAACACCAGUGGCGAAGGCGGCUCACUGGUCCG